rnacentral:tRNA from 1 species
GGUCUAACAGAAAUUCAGUCUAGGGGUAUGAUUUUCGCUUCGCAUGUGAAAGGUCGUGGGUUCAAUUCCCACAGCGUCCA